rnacentral:lncRNA from 1 species
GGGGAAAUAAAUAAAUAAUUAAAAUAAAUACCUAACUAUUACAAAUUUGGCAUUCAAGUGCCUUUCAAAUAACCAAAAUUGAAUUAAAAUAAAUAUGCCAAAUUAAAAAAUAAAUAAAGCGAAUAAAUAAAUAAAUAAAUAAUUCAAAAGGCAAGCAAUUAAGCAUGUAAAGGCACAUAAGGCACGUAGAGUCAAAUAAAGUAAGAAAUGAGGGAAAGGGUGUACCUCCCUUGAAUUGG